UACGAGGGGGGCGAGCGUUGUUCGGAAUCACUGGGCGUAAAGAGUGCGUAGGCGGUUAUGAAAGUUAGGAGUGAAAGCCCCAGGCUCAACUUGGGAAUUGCUCUUAAUACUCCAUGACUUGAAUUCGGGAGAGGAUAGCGGAAUUGUCAGUGUAGCAGUGAAAUGCGUAGAUAUUGACAGGAACACCAGUGGCGUAAGCGGCUAUCUGGACCGACAUUGACGCUGAGGCACGAAAGCGUGGGGAUCAAACAGG
rnacentral:rRNA from 1 species